AUUGAACGCUGGCGGCAUGCUUUACACAUGCAAGUCGAACGGUAACAGGGAGCUUGCUCCGCUGACGAGUGGCGAACGGGUGAGUAAUAUAUCGGAACGUGCCCAAGAGUGGGGGAUAACGUAGCGAAAGUUACGCUAAUACCGCAUACGAUCCAAGGAUGAAAGCAGGGGACCUUCGGGCCUCGUGCUCCUGGAUCGGCCGAUAUCUGAUUAGCUAGUUGGGGAGGUAAAGGCUCACCAAGGCGACGAUCAGUAGCUGGUCUGAGAGGACGACGAGCCACACUGGAACUGGGACACGGUCCAGACUCCUACGGGAGGCAGCAGUGGGGAAUUUUGGACAAUGGGGGGAACACUGAUCCAGCAAUGCCGCGUGAGUGAAGAAGGCCUUCGGGUUGUAAAGCUCUUUUGUCAGGGAAGAAAAGGGUACGGCUAAUAUCCGUGCCUCAUGACGGUACCUGAAGAAUAAGCACCGGCUAACUACGUGCCAGCAGCCGCGGUAA
rnacentral:rRNA from 1 species